UUCAAAGGUAAAAAGGAGCCCAAAUUUCACAGAAUGAUCUCCCGCUUCAGAAAGGGAAACCCUCUAAGUACACUAUACACUUCCCUGCCUGUUUUCUGGAGAGUGAUACCGAGUGUUGGCACUGUCUGCAAGGAAGGAAGUAGGACUUUGACUAAUUGCACAAACAGCAAUUUUGUGUUUUUGAAGUGCGAGGACUCAGUCCUGUGUCCACGAAGCCUCCUUCAGGAGGUUACUUCUUGACAUAGCCCAUCAACCGGACCUCCCGUUGCUAGGUUCUGAGCCUUAGGGUGCUUUCAAAUGGCUAGGAUUACAGGUGUGAGUCACGGCACGUGAUAUCAGUAGUCAGGUUGUCUGUUUUCUUUUCCAUGCAAAGCAAAA
rnacentral:lncRNA from 10 species